rnacentral:rRNA from 1 species
UACGGAGGGUGCGAGCGUUGUCCGGAAUCAUUGGGCGUAAAGGGCGCGUAGGUGGCGGGACAAGCGUGCGGUGAAAUCCCCGGGCUCAACCUGGGAAUGGCAUUUGGGACUGCAAGGCUGGAGUGCGGCAGAGGAGACUGGAAUUCCUGGUGUAGCAGUGAAAUGCGUAGAUAUCAGGAGGAAUACCGAUGGCGAAGGCAGGUCUCUGGGCUGACACUGACGCUCAUGCACGAAAGCGUGGGGAGCAAACAGG